rnacentral:lncRNA from 1 species
UAGGUAAGACAGAUACUGCCAUUACCAGCAACUCAAGCCUUAUCUGCAUCUGUUCAGUGAAGCCUUUAGGACAAACUCUACAACUAUGGAAGAGUCUUCAGGAAACGCAGUUAAAAGCCAGCCAUUGCAGGGAAGACUCACAGGAAGUAUGAUACCCAGCAGACUACAGAAGAGAAGGAAGAUUCAAGUAGCCAAGAGCAAGAGAAAGGCC